rnacentral:rRNA from 1 species
CAGCCGCCGCGGUAAUACGUAGGUGGCAAGCGUUGUCCGGAAUUAUUGGGCGUAAAGGGCUCGCAGGCGGUUUCUUAAGUCUGAUGUGAAAGCCCCCGGCUCAACCGGGGAGGGUCAUUGGAAACUGGGAAACUUGAGUGCAGAAGAGGAGAGUGGAAUUCCACGUGUAGCGGUGAAAUGCGUAGAGAUGUGGAGGAACACCAGUGGCGAAGGCGACUCUCUGGUCUGUAACUGACGCUGAGGAGCGAAAGCGUGGGGAGCGAACAGGAUUAGAUACCCCCGUAGUCCCUGUCUCUUAUAC